rnacentral:rRNA from 1 species
UACGUAGGGUCCGAGCGUUGUCCGGAAUUACUGGGCGUAAAGAGCUCGUAGGUGGUUUGUCGCGUUGUUCGUGAAAACUCACAGCUCAACUGUGGGCGUGCGGGCGAUACGGGCAGACUGGAGUACUGCAGGGGAGACUGGAAUUCCUGGUGUAGCGGUGGAAUGCGCAGAUAUCAGGAGGAACACCGGUGGCGAAGGCGGUUCUCUGGGACGGUACUGACGCUGGAGACGCGAAAGCGUGGGGAGCGAACAGG